AGAUCUAUAAAACAAAUGAAAAAAAGCUGUAAAAAAAAUGAAAUCCAAACUAAAACUGGAACAGCAACGGAUCAUAAUAAAACGAUGACAAGAAAAGCCCCUACGUGGCAAAUAUAGGGUUAAGCUAAACAGAAAAGAAAUAGACAAAAGAAAA